UGCUAGUCGCACGAGUUUAGACUCGUGGCAUAUAGCUCAGUAACACGUGGCCAAACUACCCUACAGACCGCGAUAACCUCGGGAAACUGAGGCCAAUAGCGGAUAUAACUCUCAGACUGGAGUGCCGAGAGUUAGAAACGUUCCGGCGCUGUAGGAUGUGGCUGCGGCCGAUUAGGUAGAUGGUGGGGUAACGGCCCACCAUGCCGAUAAUCGGUACGGGUUGUGAGAGCAAGAACCCGGAGACGGUAUCUGAGACAAGAUACCGGGCCCUACGGGGCGCAGCAGGCGCGAAACCUUUACACUGCACGACAGUGCGAUAGGGGGACUCCGAGUGUGAGGGCAUAUAGCCCUCGCUUUUCUGUACCGUAAGGUGGUACAGGAACAAGGACUGGGCAAGACCGGUGCCAGCCGCCGCGGUAAUACCGGCAGUCCAAGUGAUGGCCGAUAUUAUUGGGCCUAAAGCGUCCGUAGCCGGCCGUGCAAGUCCGUUGGGAAAUCGACGCGCUCAACGCGUCGGCGUCCAGCGGAAACUGUCCGGCUUGGGGCCGGAAGACCUGAGGGGUACGUCCGGGGUAGGAGUGAAAUCCUGUAAUCCUGGACGGACCACCAAUGGGGAAACCACCUCAAGAAGACGGACCCGACGGUGAGGGACGAAAGCUAGGGUCUCGAACCGGAUUAGAUACCCGGGUAGUCCU
rnacentral:rRNA from 1 species